rnacentral:rRNA from 1 species
GGGUUGUGAGGUUAAGCGACUAAGCGUACACGGUGGAUGCCCUGGCAGUCAGAGGCGAUGAAGGACGUGCUAAUCUGCGAUAAGCGCCGGUAAGGUGAUAUGAACCGUUAUAACCGGCGAUUUCCGAAUGGGGAAACCCAGUGUGACUCGUCACACUAUCAUUAACUGAAUCCAUAGGUUAAUGAGGCGAACCGGGGGAACUGAAACAUCUAAGUACCCCGAGGAAAAGAAAUCAACCGAGAUUCCCCCAGUAGCGGCGAGCGAACGGGGAGGAGCCCAGAGCCUGAAUCAGCAUGUGUGUUAGUGGAAGCGUCUGGAAAGGCGCGCGAUACAGGGUGACAGCCCCGUACACAAAAGCGCAUGUGCUGUGAGCUCGAUGAGUAGGGCGGGACACGUGGUAUCCUGUCUGAAUAUGGGGGGACCAUCCUCCAAGGCUAAAUACUCCUGACUGACCGAUAGUGAACCAGUACCGUGAGGGAAAGGCGAAAAGAACCCCGGCGAGGGGAGUGAAAAAGAACCUGAAACCGUGUACGUACAAGCAGUGGGAGCACAGGUUUACCUGUGUGACUGCGUACCUUUUGUAUAAUGGGUCAGCGACUUAUAUUCUGUAGCAAGGUUAACCGAAUAGGGGAGCCGGAGGGAAACCGAGUCUUAAUUGGGCGUUAAGUUGCAGGGUAUAGACCCGAAACCCGGUGAUCUAGCCAUGGGCAGGUUGAAGGUUGGGUAACACUAACUGGAGGACCGAACCGACUAAUGUUGAAAAAUUAGCGGAUGACCUGUGGCUGGGGGUGAAAGGCCAAUCAAACCGGGAGAUAGCUGGUUCUCCCCGAAAGCUAUUUAGGUAGCGCCUCGUGAAUUCAUCUCCGGGGGUAGAGCACUGUUUCGGCUAGGGGGCCAUCCCGGCUUACCAACCCGAUGCAAACUGCGAAUACCGGAGAAUGUUAUCACGGGAGACACACGGCGGGUGCUAACGUCCGUCGUGAAGAGGGAAACAACCCAGACCGCCAGCUAAGGUCCCAAAGUCAUGGUUAAGUGGGAAACGAUGUGGGAAGGCCCAGACAGCCAGGAUGUUGGCUUAGAAGCAGCCAUCAUUUAAAGAAAGCGUAAUAGCUCACUGGUCGAGUCGGCCUGCGCGGAAGAUGUAACGGGGCUAAACCAUGCACCGAAGGUGCGGCUGCGACAUGCUGGAGGUAUCAGAAGUGCGAAUGCUGACAUAAGUAACGAUAAAGCGGGUGAAAAGCCCGCUCGCCGGAAGACCAAGGGUUCCUGUCCAACGUUAAUCGGGGCAGGGUGAGUCGACCCCUAAGGCGAGGCCGAAAGGCGUAGUCGAUGGGAAACGGGUUAAUAUUCCCGUACUUGGUGUUACUGCGAAGGGGGGACGGAGAAGGCUAUGUUGGCCGGGCGACGGUUGUCCCGGUUUAAGCGUGUAGGUGUGUGUUCCAGGUAAAUCCGGUUCACUUUAACACUGAGGCGUGAUGACGAGGCACUACGGUGCUGAAGCAACAAAUGCCCUGCUUCCAGGAAAAGCCUCUAAGCAUCAGGUAACAUCAAAUCGUACCCCAAACCGACACAGGUGGUCAGGUAGAGAAUACCAAGGCGCUUGAGAGAACUCGGGUGAAGGAACUAGGCAAAAUGGUGCCGUAACUUCGGGAGAAGGCACGCUGACAUGUAGGUGAAGUGAUUUACUCAUGGAGCUGAAGUCAGUCGAAGAUACCAGCUGGCUGCAACUGUUUAUUAAAAACACAGCACUGUGCAAACACGAAAGUGGACGUAUACGGUGUGACGCCUGCCCGGUGCCGGAAGGUUAAUUGAUGGGGUCAGCGCAAGCGAAGCUCCUGAUCGAAGCCCCGGUAAACGGCGGCCGUAACUAUAACGGUCCUAAGGUAGCGAAAUUCCUUGUCGGGUAAGUUCCGACCUGCACGAAUGGCGUAAUGAUGGCCAGGCUGUCUCCACCCGAGACUCAGUGAAAUUGAACUCGCUGUGAAGAUGCAGUGUACCCGCGGCAAGACGGAAAGACCCCGUGAACCUUUACUAUAGCUUGACACUGAACAUUGAGCCUUGAUGUGUAGGAUAGGUGGGAGGCUUUGAAGCGUGGACGCCAGUCUGCGUGGAGCCGACCUUGAAAUACCACCCUUUAAUGUUUGAUGUUCUAACGUGGACCCGUAAUCCGGGUUGCGGACAGUGUCUGGUGGGUAGUUUGACUGGGGCGGUCUCCUCCUAAAGAGUAACGGAGGAGCACGAAGGUUGGCUAAUCCUGGUCGGACAUCAGGAGGUUAGUGCAAUGGCAUAAGCCAGCUUGACUGCGAGCGUGACGGCGCGAGCAGGUGCGAAAGCAGGUCAUAGUGAUCCGGUGGUUCUGAAUGGAAGGGCCAUCGCUCAACGGAUAAAAGGUACUCCGGGGAUAACAGGCUGAUACCGCCCAAGAGUUCAUAUCGACGGCGGUGUUUGGCACCUCGAUGUCGGCUCAUCACAUCCUGGGGCUGAAGUAGGUCCCAAGGGUAUGGCUGUUCGCCAUUUAAAGUGGUACGCGAGCUGGGUUUAGAACGUCGUGAGACAGUUCGGUCCCUAUCUGCCGUGGGCGCUGGAGAACUGAGGGGGGCUGCUCCUAGUACGAGAGGACCGGAGUGGACGCAUCACUGGUGUUCGGGUUGUCAUGCCAAUGGCACUGCCCGGUAGCUAAAUGCGGAAGAGAUAAGUGCUGAAAGCAUCUAAGCACGAAACUUGCCCCGAGAUGAGUUCUCCCUGAGACUUAAAGUCUCCUGAAGGAACGUUGAAGACGACGACGUUGAUAGGCCGGGUGUGUAAGCGCAGCGAUGCGUUGAGCUAACCGGUACUAAUGAACCGUGAGGCUUAACCUUACAACGCCGAAG